rnacentral:tRNA from 1 species
GGGCCUGUAGCUCAGUUGGUUAGAGCACAGUCCUGAUAAGACUGGGGUCAAUGGUUCGAGUCCAUUCAGGCCCACCA